GUGAGUAGUUCAGAGUUUGAUCCUGGCUCAGGAUGAACGCUGGCGGCGUGCCUAACACAUGCAAGUCGAGCGAGAAUUUACGAAAUGAAGCUUCGGCAGAUUUUGUUAAAGGAAAGCGGCGGACGGGUGAGUAACGCGUGAGUAACCUGCCCUUUGGAGGGGGAUAACACAUCGAAAGAUGUGCUAAUACCGCAUAACAUACAUUUACCGCAUGAUAGAUGUAUCAAAGAUUUAUCGCCAAAGGAUGGACUCGCGUCUGAUUAGAUAGUUGGUGAGGUAACGGCUCACCAAGUCGAUGAUCAGUAGCCGAACUGAGAGGUUGAACGGCCACAUUGGGACUGAGACACGGCCCAG
rnacentral:rRNA from 1 species